AGGGGAGCGAAAGGGAUUAGAUACCCCUGUAGUCCUGGCCGUAAACGAUGAACACUAGGUGUCGGGGGAAUCGACCCCCUCGGUGUCGUAGCCAACGCGUUAAGUGUUCCGCCUGGGGAGUACGCACGCAAGUGUGAAACUCAAAGGAAUUGACGGGGGCCCGCACAAGCGGUGGAGUAUGUGGUUUAAUUCGAUGCAACGCGAAGAACCUUACCAGGGUUUGACAUCCUGCGAAUCUCUUGGAAACAGGAGAGUGCCUUCGGGAACGCAGUGACAGGUGGUGCAUGGCUGUCGUCAGCUCGUGUCGUGAGAUGUUGGGUUAAGUCCCGCAACGAGCGCAACCCACGUCUUUAGUUGCCAGCAUUUAGUUGGGCACUCUAGAGAGACUGCCGGUGAUAAACCGGAGGAAGGUGUGGAUGACGUCAAGUCAUCAUGCCCCUUACAUCCUGGGCUACACACGUACUACAAUGCUACGGACAAAGGGCAGCAAGUUCGCGAGGACAAGCAAAUCCCAUAAACCGUGGCUCAGUUCAGAUCGUAGGCUGCAACUCGCCUACGUGAAGGCGGAAUCGCUAGUAAUCGCAGGUCAGCAUACUGCGGUGAAUACGUUCCCGGGCCUUGUACACACCGCCCGUCACACCAUGGAAGUUGGCCACGCCCGAAGCCGUUACUCCAACCCUUGUGGAGGAGGACGUCGAAGGUGGGGCUGAUGACUGGGGUGAAGUCGUAACAAGGUAACCGUA
rnacentral:rRNA from 1 species